rnacentral:rRNA from 1 species
UCCUACGGGGGGCAGCAGUAGGGAAUAUUGCUCAAUGGGGGAAACCCUGAAGCAGCAACGCCGCGUGGAGGAUGAAGGUUUUCGGAUCGUAAACCUCUGUCAGGAGGGAAGAAAGCGUAUGGCGCCAAUCAGCCAUGCGUUGACGGUACCUCCAAAGGAAGCGCCGGCUAACUCCGUGCCAGCAGCCGCGGUAAUACGGAGGGCGCGAGCGUUAAUCGGAAUUACUGGGCGUAAAGCGCGCGUAGGCUGUUGUGUAAGUUGGGGGUGAAAUCCCACGGCUCAACCGUGGAACAGCCCUUGAUACU